GACGAACGCUGGCGGCGUGCCUAAUACAUGCAAGUCGAGCGGAUGACGAGGAGCUUGCUCCUCUGAUCCAGCGGCGGACGGGUGAGUAACACGUGGGCAACCUGCCUGUAAGACUGGGAUAACUCCGGGAAACCGGGGCUAAUACCGGAUAGGUGAUGUCUUCGCAUGAAGAGAUCAGGAAAGAUGGCUUCGGCUAUCACUUACAGAUGGGCCCGCGGCGCAUUAGCUAGUUGGUGAGGUAACGGCUCACCAAGGCGACGAUGCGUAGCCGACCUGAGAGGGUGAUCGGCCACACUGGGACUGAGACACGGCCCAGACCCCUACGGGAGGCAGCAGUAGGGAAUCUUCCGCAAUGGACGAAAGUCUGACGGAGCAACGCCGCGUGAGCGAAGAAGGUCUUCGGAUCGUAAAGCUCUGUUGUUAGGGAAGAACAAGUACCGUUCGAAUAGGGCGGUACCGUGACGGUACCUAACCAGAAAGCCACGGCUAACUACGUGCCAGCAGCCGCGGUAAUACGUAGGUGGCAAGCGUUGUCCGGAAUUAUUGGGCGUAAAGCGCGCGCAGGCGGCUUCUUAAGUCUGAUGUGAAAGCCCGCAGCUCAACUGCGGAGGGUCAUUGGAAACUGGGAAGCUUGAGUGCAGAAGAGGAGAGUGGAAUUCCACGUGUAGCGGUGAAAUGCGUAGAGAUGUGGAGGAACACCAGUGGCGAAGGCGGCUCUCUGGUCUGUAACUGACGCUGAGGCGCGAAAGCGUGGGGAGCAAACAGGAUUAGAUACCCUGGUAGUCCACGCCGUAAACGAUGAGUGCUAAGUGUUAGAGGGUUUCCGCCCUUUAGUGCUGCAGCUAGCGCAUUAAGCACUCCGCCUGGGGAGUACGGCCGCAAGGCUGAAACUCAAAGGAAUUGACGGGGGCCCGCACAAGCGGUGGAGCAUGUGGUUUAAUUCGAAGCAACGCGAAGAACCUUACCAGGUCUUGACAUCCUCUGCUACUUCU
rnacentral:rRNA from 1 species